rnacentral:rRNA from 1 species
GGAAAGUUGCAAAGUACUUUGAAGAGAGAGUUCAAGAGGACGUGAAACCGAUAGGAUGGAAGCAGAUGAAGUUGACGAACGAGUGUCGUAUUCAGGGUUGCAUCUUGUGUGCAGUCUGUUCUUGCGGCCGAUGUGGGCCGGCGGCUUUGGUCAAUGCACUGUGUCAAGCGUCGAUGGUGACCCUGCGGAGGGAUAAUCGGUCGGCGUGCGAUGCGUGGUAUGGCUAGGGUGCGCCGGUCUUGAAGUCAGCGCCUCAUCUGACCCGUCUUGAAACACGGACCAAGGAGUGUAUCGUUUACGCAAGUCUUAGAGUGUAUCAAAACUUUGAGGCGCAACGAAAGUGAAUGUAGCUCGAUCUACUGACUUGGGAUGCGUUGUCUCCUGUGGACAGCGCUGGACCAUAGUUAUAUCGCGAUCGCUUGCGAUGCGGUGUAAACAGAGCGUAAGCGGUGCGACCCGAAA